GGGAGAAUCCUGAAUUCGAAAGGGGUCUUGGAUUCAAUGCCUACCGAGCGUGACUGGGACGCCCUCUCCAGAUGGCGCCGGUCGCCCGCAGCGAUUCAUUUCGUUCGCGGUGUCGAUACCGGCGAUCACUCGGGGAGGUGCCGUUUACCCGGUGCCGGAGGAGUGCACUUCCCCCCUAGUAGAAACGUCGCGACCCGUUGGGUGCCGGUCUCAAGGCCCUGUGGCGGCAGCCCCUGCGUCCUGCGGGGUCUUCUCGCAGGCGCGUGGACCCACGGUGACCCGGCCGGCUGCCCGACGGUAUGACCAGAGGAGUCGAUCCGCUGAAAGUGAAACACUUUGGUUGUGUAGCGUCCGGCCCAUCUUACGAUGCGUGCGUAGAUGUCGCCCGUGUAGAGCACGGGCUGCGCUGCGUCUUCGUGUUUGGUGUCCUCGGACCGGAUCAGCACUCCCGUCUGCGACGCCCACCUUCGGAUGGUCUCCCG
rnacentral:rRNA from 1 species